CGUCCUUCGUACGUAUCAAUGGAGGAUUUUCAUUUUAUCUAUCGUUCCUUUUUUGCUUUUUUAGGUCACAGGUUCAUUAGUAGUUAUGUAUUUAAUCCUUCCAGAUUGUACACACCCACAUACUCCUAUCCUGUGACCUUUUUUGGGGAGCUUAAAGGACCACUCUAGGCACCCAGACCACUUCAGCUUAAUGAAGUGGUCUGGAUGCCAGGUCCCUCUAGGAUGAACCCUUUUUUUUUUUUAUAAACUUCAGAGAAACUGCUAUGUUUAUAAAUGGGUUAAUCCAGCCUCUAAAG